rnacentral:rRNA from 1 species
AUUGAACGCUGGCGGAAUGCUUUACACAUGCAAGUCGAACGGCAGCACGGGGGCAACCCUGGUGGCGAGCGGCGAACGGGUGAGUAAUACAUCGGAACGUGCCCAGUCGUGGGGGAUAACGUAGCGAAAGUUACGCUAAUACCGCAUACGAUCUACGGAUGAAAGCGGGGGACCGUAAGGCCUCGCGCGAUUGGAGCGGCCGAUGUCAGAUUAGGUCGUUGGUGAGGUAAAGGCUCACCAAGCCGACGAUCUGUAGCUGGUCUGGGAGGACGACAAGCCACACUGGGACUGAGACACGGCCCAGACUCCUACGGGAGGCAGCAGUGGGGAAUUUUGGACAAUGGGCGCAAGCCUGAUCCAGCCAUUCCGCGUGCAGGACGAAGGCCUUCGGGUUGUAAACUGCUUUUGUACGGAACGAAAAGGCUCUGGUUAAUACCUGGGGCUCAUGACGGUACCGUAAGAAUAAGCACCGGCUAACUACGUGCCAGCCGCCGCAGUAA